rnacentral:tmRNA from 1 species
GGGGCUGACUGGUUUCGACGUCAGUAACGCUGGCCGGGUCAGCGACCCGAGUUGCUCAGACUCGCUAAACGGGGCACAACCAAGAAUUGCCGAUGAGCAGUUCGCUCUCGCAGCCUGACCUAGUCAGGUAACCGAGAGUCAUCGUGAGCAGCAAUGUCGCACGGGGCCACUCCAUCGCAGCCCGGCAACAGAAGCGGGGGAUGACAGCGGGAAAGUCCGCUGGCAGCUGGAAAGACAGCUGACACCCGGCAAAGACCGGGCGUUGACCGGCGGCCCUUGGGCCACCGCUCAUCCGACCCGCCGGUGAGGCAGCGUCAGCCUCGAUGUCGGGAAUGGUCGUAGCAGGCUCGUCCACCGGCUGAUGGACGGGGGUUCGAUUCCCCCCAGCUCCACCA